AGGACGAACGCUGGCGGCGUGCCUAACACAUGCAAGUGGAGCGACGAACCAGGCUUCGGCCUGGGGCAAAGCCGCGAACGGGUGAGUAACACGUGGGUAACCUGCCCCGAUGAUCGGGACAACUCGAGGAAACUCGGGCUAAUACCGAAUGUGCCCUACGGCCACAAGGCCGCUGGGGAAAGGAAGCUUCGGCCUCCGCAUCGGGAUGGGCCCGCGGCCCAUUAGCUUGUUGGUGAGGUAACGGCUCACCAAGGCAACGAUGGGUAGCUGGUCUGAGAGGACGAUCAGCCACACUGGGACUGAGACACGGCCCAGACUCCUACGGGAGGCAGCAGUGGGGAAUCUUGCGCAAUGGGCGAAAAGCCUGACGCAGCGACGCCGCGUGGGGGAUGAAGGCCUCGGUUGGUAAACCCUUUCAGCAGGACGAAGCGAAAGUGACGGUACCUGCAGAAGAAGACGCCGGCUAACUUCGUGCCAGCAGCCGCGGU
rnacentral:rRNA from 1 species